rnacentral:lncRNA from 10 species
GCUGGCUUAAAAAAAUUGUUUUUUUUUUUCAAAUAAUUUUGAAUUCUUCUAAGAAGAAUUAUCAAUUUAAGAUAAAAUUUUAUUUACCAAAGCAAAGGUUUCACUUUCCAAAUAUUAAGUUUGAAGUCAGCAUUGUUGGGAGAAAAGCUGAGUGUUGGAAGAGAAGCUGAGGCAGGGCUUGGAACAUGCCUCACCACCUGUUUCUUUGUCUGAUCACCCCAACAAGUAUAAUGUGUAAUUUCUAAACUCCAACUUAAGCCAUGGUUAAAAAUCAAUCAAUAACUAAUAUAUUCAAAAAUAUUCUUCCAGCAGGGAACAAUGGCUCAUGCCUGUAAUCCCAGUAAUCCCAGCACUUUGGGAGGCCAAGGAAAGAGGAUCAUUUGAAGCCAGGAUAUGGAGACCAACCUGGGCAACAAAGCAAGACCUCAUCUCUACAAAAAAAUAAAAAUUAAACAUUAAAAAAAUUGUAUAUAUACAUAUAUAAUUUAUAUGUAUUAUGUCACAAUACAUACAACUUAUAUGUAUUGUAUAUGAAUUGUGACAUAAUACUUAUAGAUGUAUAUAUAUUUUUUUGCCCAAUGCCCUGUGUUUUAAACUAGGUAUAUCAUACCCUCUUGGUUAUGUGGCUAUCUGGAAAUGACAGAUAAUCAAUUUAAAAUGUAACCAGGGUGAUAUGAUUAUCUGGGGAGAGUCUGACUUGAAUAUCUAUAUAUCACCCUUUAGUUUGAAGUCUUGAAUACAGCAAAAACCACAGCAAAAGCAAUAGUUAUAGAGUAGACAUUUUCAUGAUUACUAAAGGUAGUAAAAAGGAAACAGAUAAGACAAACUCACAGUAACCACAGGAGAAAACAAAGGAUCCAGAAGGGAACCCAUCAACAAACAUAUACUUCUCUAGCAGAGGAACAAACCUGGAAGAAAGAAGACAAUGGGACUCAUUGGAGAAAUAAAUCCAGGAGCCUGGAUAUUGUCUAAGAAAAUGUGUAAUCAUAGAAGACACGUAAAAUUAGCAUAAACCGAGGGCUGGUGUUUUAGGAGUCCAAAAUGUUGCUUGGCUGAGGAAAAUGUUGAAGAGGAAAAUUCAACAUUAUUUCAUCACUUCAUUUAUUCUUGGUUGUUGUUUGUCAUUUUCUUAAUACUUUCAAUCAAAGUAUUUAGUCUAAGCUUGCAACUCCAAUGGGUGAUAAAGCUGAACCACAAUCGUCUUCCCCAUUCCCCUAAAAUGUAAGGAUAUUUAAAAUGUAUUUUUUACCUUGCCUUAAAACUCUACAGUGAUAGUAAUUUCCAAAAGGGAAAAAAAUAGCAAAAGAUACCACAUGUUUUCUCACUUACUUCUACACUUAUGCUAGAAUCUAUAGAAGGAAAAAUAUUUGUCUUUGUUUCUUUUUUUUUCAAUGAUUUGUAUGAGACUUUUUUCAUAUAUUGCCAAUCUAGAAAUUUUUAAUGCAAUUACAUUUUGAGGCAUGUGCCAUUAAAAUGGCUAAUUUCAGAUCUUUAUUUCACCUUGAUUUAAAGGAAAAAUGUUAUCUCCCUAAAGACCAAUUGCUUUUGUAUGCCAAGAAAUGUGUGUGCAUUAGAUGCUGCUUGGCUUUCCCAAAGCUAAUUUUCCAGAAGUAAGAGAAGAACUGACUCAGCCUAUUCAUGUCUCCACAUUGUUGCCAUGCACACGUGGAAGGCAGUCUGAAGCAGGCUCAGACUGUUUGGCUGUGAAAUUCAUCAUGAGGAAGUCCUCUGGCUCUCCGUGAUGUCUCACAGCUCCAAGCCCAUUCAUAUUCACCAGGAACUAUGUGGAAAUUUAUCUGAGAAAAUACAAGAAUGUCUCAAUUUGAGCUCCAUUGCUGACCUUGUGUGCAAGGAGAAAGCAGGCUUUGUGUGUUCCAUUUUGAAUAUCUGGUAACUCAGCCCUUGACUAAGUCCCUUUGGUUAGUUGCUAAGCAGCAUGAAAGUUAGCACACUCUCUACUUUAGAAAAUCUUCAGGAAUAUUUACUUUUCUAAAAUGAACUUUUGUUUAUAAACCCAUUUGAUGAAAUCAAUCAAAUGUAUAUACAUCAGCAACUAUUUAAUAGGUAUUUCUUCAUGGAAUAAGGAAUCACAGUGUCAAUUUGCCCAUGUUGAGCAUAUCUAUAUUUUGACAAUGGAGUCAUUUCUAUAGAAGCAACAAUGGUGCUGCAUUUAAAAAGUUAGGAAGGUGGUAGAUGAAAAAGCAAUGAAAGUAGUAAACUAUGGAAUAAAGAUACUAUUUUAUUACAAUCUAAGUAAUAAUUAAAAUAAAACCAACCAAAAGAAAUGCAGAACAAACUAUUAACAUAAAUACAAGACUCUGUCUUGUAGAGAAAAUAAUUUCACAGUAAAGGUUUGGUUAUACCACUUUUCCAACAAUUGUACUACUUUUGCAAGGAUUUUAUUUAUAUGAUAGAUAAGAAAAUGAAUAAAUCUUUUUCUAAAAAUGAAUUCAUUUCCAGUUAUUUCAUUCUUUUUUCUUUCAAAUUACUAGUGAAUCUUUAAAUUUCAAGGUUAUGAAGAAAUCAGUUUCCUUCAAAUAAAAAAUAUAUCAAUCAACUGGUACUUUAUAACUUUGAAAGAGCAAGUUUAUUGCCAAUAAAAAUAAGGACAACAAAAAGGUAUACAAAAUAGAAAGGAGUAUGAAAAGACAAGAACUUCUGAUAAGGCUAAUCUGAGAAAUUCCAGUCCUCACUUGAAUAGUACUUUGAAUACUCACACACAUGAGAUUAUUGCAGUAACUACUGACAGAAAUAAAUAUAUUCAAAUGAAAACAUAUGAAACAAUACUUGAUAUUGUUUUGUGAGUGACACUAAUUUUGUCAAAUAUAUUGCUUUUUUGCCACAUUUAAGCAGUACAGUUCAUUUUAAAUGGCUGGUAUUUUGUGGGUUUUUUUGUUUUUACUAUGUUUUUAUUGUGAAUUUUGAAAGUCAAACUCUUUUUCAGGCCAACAAAAGCAAACUAAUCUCAUUAAAAAUAUCAUUCCUCUUGUUCCUUCCUUUAAUUAUUCGUGUCUUAUUGGAAUUUAGGAAAAUUGAUCCAAAUACUACAAACAUUGUUGUCAAUUUCUUAUAUUUAUUUCCUUGCUAUGUCUCUAGAGUUUUCUAAUGCCAAAUAGAAGGUUUAAUCAGUCUGUAUUGUUUAAAUAAUAGAGUUUAAAAGCUAUUUAUUGGAAAGUAUUUUAAAUCUCAUGUAAAUGGAAUUCUACUGGAAGACUUCUUUUUAAAAUCAUAUUUAAUACUUGGUUACACUUUAUUAAAACACUUCUGGUUUCAGAUUAUCUUUUGAAUGCAGCUAACCUAUCACUAAGUUUUUUGUUAUGCUGGUCCAAAGUCUGAUGUUUUGUAAUUUCAAAAUUACUAUAACUCUUUUCCUUGUUUCUUUCCUUAGUAAAUUUCAAAUUCCCUUUUUCUGGUAAUUUGUGACUUCCUUUCUUCAUUAUGUAGACAUUCUUGACUUCUUAAAGCAAAACAAAAGGAAAGAAAAAAAGCAAAUAACAAUAACAAAACCCACUUCCCUUAAUUCUGCAUCUUUCUCUCUUUACAGGCAAAUUUCUUAAAGGUUCAACCAUCACUUCCACUUUUACACAGUACCAUAACACUCAUGAAAAUUCCACUGUGUGUGUUUUCACAAGGACCUGAUACAAGCUAUGACACUGCUCAUUGUCUCUCUCCUUUUCUCAAAAUGUGCAGUCAUUAAUAAUUUUUCUCAGGAUUUUUAUCAUUAACCUUUUUCAUAUUGUUCCUAAAUCAAAGUUUGUAAUUCGAAAUCCUUUUAAAAAAUGCCAGAAGGCAAUGAAGUAUUCAGAAGAUUAAAAAUGAUGGUGUAAUAACCAGAAUCCACAUAAUCAAAAAGAUUUGUGGUUCAGUGUUUUCUUUCUAAGGUACCAAAUGAAAGAGUAUCAUGUAGGUUUUUAUCAUGGCAAUUUUUUUAAAGAUAUAAAAUAAAUAGAAAUAUUUAUUGACAAGUAUGUCAAAUGCAAACUUGACCUUGUCCUGACACUUUUACAAUAUAACAUGGCUUCAAACAUUUAAAGAAAAUAAAAAUUAAAUGCCAUAAAGUUGUUUUUUUCUCUUCCUCUUCCUCCUUCUUCUCCUCCUUUCUUUUUCUGUUUCUAUC